rnacentral:rRNA from 1 species
GAGAGUGGGUAGUCCGCACGAGCGCACCUCCCUUUUAGUUGCCAUCAUUAAGUUGGGCACUCUGAAAGAACUGCCAGUGAUAAGCUGGAGGAAGGUGGGGAUGACGUCAAGUCCUCAUGGCCCUUACGUGUUGGGCUACACACGUGCUACAAUGGCAUCUACAACAGGAAGCAAAACGGCAACGUUAAGCAAAUCCCGAAAAGAUGCCUCAGUUCGGAUUGCACUCUGCAACUCGAGUGCAUGAAGCUGGAAUUACUAGUAAUCGUGGAUCAGCGUGCCACGGUGAAUGCGUUCCCGGGUCUUGUACACACCGCCCGUCACACCAUGGGAGUUGGUUCUACCUUAAGGCAAGGUUUUAAACCCUUGACCACGGUAUAGUCAGCGACUGGGGUGAAGUCGUAACAAGGUAGCCGUAGGGGAACCUGCGGCUGGAUUACCUCCUUUCU